AGCAGCCGCGGUAAUUCCAGCUCCAAUAGCGUAUAUUAAAGUUGUUGCAGUUAAAAAGCUCGUAGUUGAAUUUCGGGAUCAAUGCGUCGGUCGUGCCUUCGGUACGUACUAGCGUCAUUGAUUCCUCCCUUCUGAAGAACCGUGAUGUCAUUAAUUUGGUGUUACGGGGAAUCAGGACUGUUACCUUGAAAAAUUAGAGUGUUUAAAGCAGGCUAACGCUUGAAUACAUUAGCAUGGAAUAAUGAAAUAGGACGUUCGAACCUAUUUUGUUGGUUUCUAGGAUCGACGUAAUGAUUAAUAGGGAUAGUUGGGGGCAUUAGUAUUCAAUUGUCAGAGGUGAAAUUCUUGGAUUUAUUGAAGACUAACUACUGCGAAAGCAUUUGCCAAGGAUGUUUUCAUUAAUCAAGAACGAAAGUUAGGGGAUCGAAGACGAUCAGAUACCGUCGUAGUCUUAACCAUAAACUAUGCCGACUAGGGAUCGGAUGAUGUUAAUUUUUAAUGACUCAUUCGGCGCCUUACG
rnacentral:rRNA from 1 species